UACGAGGGGGCUAGCGUUGUCGCGAAUUGACUGGGCGUAAAGCGCACGUAGGCGGCUUUGUAAGUUAGAGGUGAAAGCCCAGGGCUCAACCCUGGAAUUGCCUUUAAGACUGCAUCGCUUGAACAUCGGAGAGGUAAGUGGAAUUCCGAGUGUAGAGGUGAAAUUCGUAGAUAUUCGCAAGAACACCAGUGGCGAAGGCGGCUCACUGGCCCGGUACUGACGCUGAGGUGCGAAAGCGUGGGGAGCAAACAGG
rnacentral:rRNA from 1 species